GAGAUCGGGAUAACACCUGGAAACAGAUGCUAAUACCGGAUAACAACAGAUGAUGCCUAUCAACUGUUUAAAAGAUGGCUCUGCUAUCACUCUUGGAUGGACCUGCGGUGCAUUAGCUAGUUGGUAGGGUAACGGCCUGCCAAGGCGAUGAUGCAUAGCCGAGUUGAGAGACUGAUCGGCCACAUUGGGACUGAGACACGGCCCAAACUCCUACGGGAGGCAGCAGGU
rnacentral:rRNA from 1 species